UACGGGGGGAGCAAGCGUUGUUCGGAUUUACUGGGCGUAAAGGGCGCGUAGGCGGCGUGACAAGUCACUUGUGAAAUCUCCGGGCUUAACUCGGAACGGUCAAGUGAUACUGUCGUGCUAGAGUACAGAAGGGGCAACUGGAAUUCUCGGUGUAGCGGUGAAAUUCGUAGAUAUCGGGAGGAACACCAGUGGCGAAGGCGGCGAUCUGGGAAGAUACUGACGCUGAGGUGCGAAAGCGUGGGGAGCAAACAGG
rnacentral:rRNA from 1 species